GUUCGGCUGGACCGGAUACAGGUGCUGCAUGGCUGUCGUCAGCUCGUGCCGUGAGGUGUCGGGUUAAGUCCCAUAACGAGUCGCAACCCCUAUCAUUAGUUGCCAUCAGGUCAAGCUGGGGACUCUAAGUGAAACUGACCGUACGCAAGUAGUGAGGAAGGUGGGGAUGACGUCAAGUCCUCAUGGCCUUUAUGACCAGGGCUACACACGUACUACAAUGGCCGAUACAAAGGGCAGCGACACUGCGAGGUGAAGCCAAUCCCGUAAAAUCGGUCUCAGUCCGGAUUGGAGUCUGCAACUCGACUCCAUGAAGUUGGAAUCGCUAGUAAUCGUGGAUCAGCAUGCCACGGUGAAUACGUUCCCGGGCCUU
rnacentral:rRNA from 1 species